AUGGGUUUACCCAAACCCAUAAGUAAUGGGCCGGGUUUUUACCCUUCGAUAAAUAAAUGGGUCCAAUAUGAGAUAUUAAUUUUAGAGUUUAUAUUAAUACGGGUAAAAUCAAUAGGGUAACUGGGUACCCACAUUACCCACAUACUUAAUUAAAAAAAUUAAACGUUAUUGUUCAACAAACUGACGAAGUGUCUCUUUCAACCUAAUCUGAAACAAAUGAUUUCAACCUAAUCUGAAACAAACGAAGUUGUCUCUCUCUCAAUCAAGCUUGGUCGUCUUCAACUCUUUCAUGAAGCAGAUCUCUGGCAGAGAACCCAUCACACUGAUCAUGAUUUUUUUUGAACUUGAGAGGAGUAUCCUACAUAGUUCAGAUAACACAGAGUCAAGUUUGGAAUUGCAUUUGGAUGAGCCAAGGCUAGGGUUAAAAGCUUUUGCAGAUAUAUAAGUUUUAUAUUGAUUUAUAAUAUUUAUUUUAAAUUUAUAUUGAUUUAUAUAAUUGUGAUUUUAAAUUAUAUAUAUAGAUAUUAAAAUUUCUUUUUAAAGGUAUAAAAAUGUAUAAUUUGAUUCUAUAUACAAAAACGUAUCAAUAUUUUAUAUUAUUUGUCUAGAAAAAAUAAAAUGACAACUUGGGUACUCAUGAGUAAACCUAUGCCCUAUUGAGUUUAUUAUCUCGGUUUGGUUUCCAACCUAGUGUUUUUGGGUUUUCUUGGGUUGAGUUAUUUUACCCUACAUUAACAUCCCUAUAUAUAAGGAUGUUGCAUUUUCAUUUGAUUAAUAUGAAGUUGUUGAAACAUUUAAAGGUACGCACGUAUCUAACUUUUUUUUUUAUUUCAAUUUUUUUUUCAUUUCAUUUUUAAGUUAUUAAAUAUUAAUAAUUAUGUUUACACUAUAUUUGAUCUAAUUUUUAUUGAUGAAACAGAAAAUUGUUAUUUUAGAGUAUAU